CGAAGGAUGCAAGCGUUAUCCGGAUUCAUUGGGUUUAAAGGGAGCGUAGUGGACUGAUAAGUCAGUGGUGAAAUCUUCGAGCUUAACUCGGAAAUUGCCAUUGAUACUGUUGGUCUUGAGUACAGUUGCUGUGGGCGGGAUAUGACAUGUAGUGGUGAAAUACAUAGAGAUGUCAUAGAACACCGAUUGCGAAGGCAGCUCACAAAGCUGUAACUGACACUGAGGCUCGAAAGUGCGGGGAUCAAACAGGAUUAGAUACCCUGGUAGUCCGCACCGUAAACGAUGAUUACUCGCUGCUAGAUGGCAACAUUUAGUGGCUUAGCGAAAGCGAUAAGUAAUCCACCUGGGGAGUACGCCGGCAACGGUG
rnacentral:rRNA from 1 species